rnacentral:tRNA from 1 species
GGGCGCGUAGCUCAGCUGGGAGAGCGCUACAAUCGCACUGUAGAGGUCGAGGGUUCGAAUCCCUCCGCGUCCA